AGUGGGUUAGGUUUAGUGGAGUAGGUUUAAGUGGGUGAAGUAGGUGGAGAGUAGGUGGAUUUUAACAGAAUCAUUGCAUCAAAGUGGCAUAAAUGAGGAUGACAAGAUUUGCAAGGCAAAAAUUAUGUACAAGGAACUCAAGAAAUCUACAUUCAAAUUCGAACACUAUUGGAUUAUGUUAAUGGAUCAACCAAAAUGGGCGGUAGCGUCUGAGAAGAAAAAACAACCAAAAAGACCAAGAACAGGGACAACCUCUUCUCCUUGUACUCCGGAUUCGAUAAAUCUAGGGGAAGAUGAUGUCUCACCUAAUGAUUUUGCAGACUUGGAGAGACCAACCGGUAGGAAGGUUGAAAAGGAGCGAUUGAAUAAACAAAAGAACAAAGAAAGCGUACAUUUGAGUAUUACAAAAACUUUGGAGGACAUCAAGCAAGACAAAAAGAAAAUGAUUGACAAGAAAAUUGAAAUGAUUGACAAAGUGUACGUUCAAAAAGAAGUGGAACAUCGUAUCAUGCAAGAAAAGCAUGAGGUGGAACUUCAAAAGCAUGAAAUGGAACUUUUCAAAGAGGACGAAAGAGUUAUUUUGAUGGAUCUCAGUGGCUUGCUGGAAAUCCAACAAGAAUUUUAUCAUGCUCGGCAGAUGGAAAUCAUUAAGAAAAGAAGAACGAAUUAGUAUUCAUUUUUUCUUUGCUCUUUAUGAUAUUUUGGCUUUUGUCUAGUAGGCUAGAAACUUGGUAUAUGAUAUUUUGGCUUUUGCUUUUGGUUCUACUUUUGUCUAGGAUAGAUGUUGAACUCGGCAAUGUUUUGGUACACAAUGUUAGUUGUCUAAUCUAAUGCUUUUUGUACUGUGUUGUUCUACUGCUUUUUGUGCUGUGUUGCUGCCAUUUUUGGCCUAUUUUCUAAUCUGUUUUUGUUGCUAUUUCGCUGGUGUUUUGGGGCUGUUUUGAUGGCAUUUUUGGGCUGUUUUGCUGCUGUUUAAUAUAAGUACUAAUAUUUACUUGUUCUUAGAUUUUGAAUCCAAAAAUAGGUUGUGGUUGAGACGGGGCAACAGCUAGUACUAAUUGAUUAAUAAUUCUAAUGAAGAGUUUUAUAAUGAUCUCUACAUUUUGAAUACUGGUAAGUUUAUGGAUUAGUCAAAGAGCCACACAUCGAAAAUCACCGAAGCUGAAUUAUUUUGUCACUGUAUGGGGCAAGUUUUUAUUUUUAUUUUUUAUUGUUUAAUUAGUAAUUACAAGCUUAUAAUGCUACAUUUAUAUAAGGCAUCAGUGUGGGAUUUCUCUUUUCAAAUGAGUUUUAUUUAUAUAAAGCUCAGUGGUAGCUAAAGCAUGGGUUUUAUUGUUCAUAAUUUCACAAGGGCUGUAGAUUUGCACGAAUUGUAGAUGAUUGAUCCCAGUUUAGUAAUAAUUUGAUUCAGAGAACAAAGUGGAAAAGAAAAAAUUACUAGUUUCUUCAUCUUUUGUAGAGACUUUUGUUUGGAAACGUGCUGCAACAUUAGGCUGUCCACCAGCAAAGCGUGAUAGCCAUACUUGCUCAUCUUGGAAGAACAAAAUCAUUAUAACUGGUGGUGAAGACUCAUAUGAUUAUUAUCUCUCUGAUGUUCAUAUCCUUGAUGCUGAUACCCUUGUGUGGAGCAAGCUGUUCA